AUUAAUGUAAUGAUACAAAAAAUGCACGAUAUUAUUUAUUAUUUUACUGACCACAUAAUGUCCUCGUUCAUUUAGUACACGUACACCGAGCCCGAUAACGAAACCGAUCAUUAAAAAAUUUGGAGUGAAAAAAAUUAAAUUUCUGGAAAUUGUGUUGACCAGACGCUACAAAAGUAUAAACUUGGUCUGCUGUUUGAUAUUUUAAAGCUGCUCAGCAAGUUUCACAUCAUUCGUCAAACGCAUGCAGUAAAAAACAACGGAAAACUGAAGUGGGACAGACAGACGGACGGACAGACAGACAGACGGACGGACGGACAGACGGACUGACGGACGCAGAGGAAAGCUAUUGUCCCCUCCGGUCAAACCGGUAGGGGACUAAUAAUAUAGGAUUUAUGAUGAUUAACAAAUGUCCCAAUGUAAAGUGGGUUUGAACCACAAUUUAAAAGGUUAUAUACAUUUUGAUUUGCUGUAUUUUUUCUAAUCAAAAUCCAUUGUAUAUGUUGCAUGUAUUAUAUACAUACUGGCAAGUUUACAUUGCUUUAAACUGUUUAAAAACAUAAAAUAAAUGAUAAUGAUU
rnacentral:sRNA from 1 species